rnacentral:rRNA from 1 species
GCUCAGGACCGAACGCUGGCGGCGUGCUUAACACAUGCAAGUCGAACGAAACUCCUUAUCUGAUUUUCUUCGGAAUUGAAGUUUUGUAGACUGAGUGGCGGACGGGUGAGUAACGCGUGGGUAACCUGCCCUGUACAGGGGGAUAACAGUCAGAAAUGACUGCUAAUACCGCAUAAGACCACAGCACCGCAUGGUGCAGGGGUAAAAACUCCGGUGGUACAGGAUGGACCCGCGUCUGAUUAGCUGGUUGGUGAGGUAACGGCUCACCAAGGCGACGAUCAGUAGCCGGCUUGAGAGAGGAACGGCCACAUUGGACGAGACACGCCC